GUGGACUCCAGGUCAGCACUGAGUAAAAUUUAACUUCUGUUUAUUUUUCUCCCUUUACAUAUAACGCUAUUGGCCCCAAAACACAUUCCCCCACUCCUCCUGAUCCAUUUCUCUCACCAUGUCCUGACCAGGGGUCUGACAUGCACACUCUGAAAGCAGAAAUCGGUUCACUGCUUUUGAGUUACUGGCCUUCCCAAGGUUAGGUUAAAUCUGAUAAGAGUCAAAUGAGUUUUGUUUGGCGGCAGCCAAGGAAGGAACAGGUCCUAAGGGGAGAGAGCAAAGUGAAGUCUGUGCAUGUGAACAUACCUUGGCCUCAUCUGGCCUCCUGGGACUUGCACUCUCUCUUCCUGUCUCCUUCCGUCCUCAGCGGUUUGUGCUCCGCAGCUUCUGAUUCUCUCACAAGGGUGUCAGCUCAUCCCUCCCUCUGCCCUGGUCCUGUCCCUUUCUCCUUCCCUUCUCAUUGUCAGGAGUUGGCCAGUUAGCAAACCCACAGGUGCGAAGGCAGGAAUGACUGGCUGCCCCACACUCUCUGCUUCCCCGGUACCUUUGCAUUUUCUCAUGGAUCGGACUUCAUGGAACUUCAGGAUGGGGAUCAGAAACACUUUAAGGGUCAAGAUUUAAAGACAGGCAGUGUGGCCUGGAAAGUUAUGAGUUACAGAGCCAGGUAGAUUUGGGUCUCAGCCAUGCGUGUUUUGAUCAAGUUGCCUAAUAAUUCUGAGCGCCAAUAUUCCCAACAACAGAAGAUAGUAUCUUUUCUUCAGAAACGAUAUGUGGAAAGUUUCCAGCUCUAUGCCACCUCGCAGAUACUUCACAAAUCUUCAGGGUGAUUGUGGUCAUCAGGCUGCUCCAUCUACACCUGAGCUGAAUCCUAGAUGAGGGAUGACUGUGAAAGAGGUCUAUUAUGGUGGGGAGACAUUAUUACCUCUCUCUACCUGUUAGUGUUGUGUCCCACGGCUGACUCCGAGGAAACCAAGAAGCCAAAGAAGGAUGAGAGAGAAACAAGCAGAGAUAAUGAUGUUGUCCUGCCUGGAGUACAUACCAAGUGAUGACAAGCUUGGUCACCAAGGUCGCCAGGGUUUUGUUCACCCGACAAGACAAGAAGCUCAGGGAACCAAGACUCCUGGAUAAUAGGCAGUAUUAGGUACACUCCGCUGGUGACCCUGUUUCUGAGGGGUUCCCAAGUCCCCUGGUGACCUCAGCUUUCACAGGCCACCAUUUUCUUUUGAGGCCAGUGAUUUUCCAGCCUAGCUGCCUGUUCGAAUCUCGUGUGGGAGUGGGCCUGACUAGCUUUAAAAGUACCUCAGGUGAAUCCACUGUAAUCAGAGCUGAGAAUCACUGUUCCAGACCCAGGCUGAGCCUGUCAGGGGUUCUUCUGUGGAGGGAAUUUCUUUUGGUAGAAUAUUCUCCCCAGAUGGAUCCCAAAUGAUCAGAAAAGGUUGAUGAUAAUUAUUUGUGUUGCUUGUGUCAUGCUUUAAAAUCAUUUAUUUACUUUAAACUUUAUACAUUCCUUAUUCCAACAAGCACUGUCUAACUUGGUAUAGUUAUCUUGCUUAAGCAAAUAGAUCCCAGCCUUCCAAUUUAAAAAAAAAAAUGCCAGGAAGGAAGGGAGCAUUAUUACUGCAGCUUAUUUCUGGAGUAACACCGAGUCACUUGGGGGAUGAUAAACUUAAGGAUGAGUCAAGGAAACAUUCUAGGGUGACUCCUUCAUUUCUCUAAACUGGUUGAUUAAACAGGAAGCCUCACAUGUAUUGAUGGAUACCUCAUCUCCUAGGAGUCCUCCUCCAUCAUUCAAGCCUUUUUUUUUUUUGGAAAGGCAAACUCUCUGCAAUUGACACACACGUGAUGAGAAACCAGCAUGCUAGCGGUUGACCAAGUUUCUACUCUCAUUGCCGAGAUGUAGCUGUUACAUCCCUAGACUUCUAGGAAAAUAUAUUUUAUUCUAAAGAGCCAUUAUGAAACAGUGCUGGAGUAGUGUCAGGGAAAAUUGAGGCUGAUGGCACUGCUGUUUUAUCUGGAAGGAUUACCGCCGGGAAGCUCUGGGUCUCCCCACCGUCAGACAUUGGCGUUCGGUUUUGUGGAAGAGUGAUGUGACCACACAUGUUAGGUUCAGAUGAGCGUAAUUAGGGCUGAGGGUGAGAAGUUAGAGACACGUAAGUACUAAGUAUGGUGAAGGCACUUUUGUCCUCCAUGCUAACUGAGCCGUGCACCAGAGUGUCUCAUUCAAAUACCUGAAGGUCAGUGUGGUGAGUACUUUUUUUUUUUUUUAGUUUAACAGAUCUAAUGAAGGUCCAGUGGGGAAUACAUUUGGGAAGACGCUCCAAACAUGGCUCUGGAGGUUUUUCUGGCAGGGAGAGGCCACCUCUCAGCUGCCCACACCUUCUGGAGUCCAAAUCUCAGGCCAGAGAGGGGCUGGCCUCCCAAGCUUGGGCUGUGGAAUCACCACCUGGGUGCCGGCUGGGUUCCAGGCCAGCCAAGCUGAGACAAGACAGGUCCUUGUAGCCCAGGCUGGUGCGUGGCUGAGUAGCUGGGUUAUUAGUUACACCAAAGACUUUCAGCUGGCCAGGCAGAAGGGCUCCAUACGCCGAAACCAAUGCAGGAGGAAGAAGGCAUUAAGGAGCCCUUAUAACCAUGAAAUGGGAAGAAAACAUGACCGUAUGUAUUACUUUUGAAACCCCAUUUCUAACGUUAGUGGAAUUGAAGGAG
ensembl:lncRNA